rnacentral:lncRNA from 1 species
GAAAUCCUUUCAAAUCUGGAAUAGAAUGUUUCGAACAAUAUUGAGUUAAAAAGGAAUUUUAUGGGUUACACAGAUAGAUAGAGGCUGGCUUUCACUAUGAUUUGUGGUCUGAAGCAUAGCUACUGACUGCAAUGUGUUUGUGAUUGAAUAGGGCUUUUUUUGUAUUUUCUUUUCAAAGCAGAAUAUUAUAAUACAUAUCUAUUUUUUUUCUCACACACAUAUCUAAAUACUUUCUUCAGAAAAUGAGGGCAAAAUAGAAGACUAUCUUCCCUUUACGCUCUGGGUCAUUUCCUGAAGAGUUUUGAAUUCAGCACGAAAGGCAGGACUUUCACAGAGGUGGAAUGUAGCACAUGUGGAAAAGGUUGGACCAACGACCUUUAAUUCUUUGACCAAGAAGGUGUGAGAGGCUGGUUUUCCUGGGUGGUCUGAGAAUUGCCUCAGGAGAGAGCACUGAUGCAGUCUAAUCCGGAUGUUACAAAGGACUGCAAUUUGUGCUGAUUUUGGCUUGGCCUCUCCUUCUAGCGGUGCUGCCUUGGGGGCCUUUAGUCCUGGUCUUCAGUUCCCCACCCUUUGCGGAGCCCAUCACCCUGACCGGGGCCCCAGGCUGGCUGCGCAGGUGAGAGCACCUGGGUGCAGCAGGUAGGCGCUCCUGUUGUCAGAACGCUGCUCACCUGACCGAAGUAAGACCUACUGAUAAAUCCAUAGACCCACAGGAAGUCUCCAUAGAGCCUGAGAAUAUGUUACUCAGUUUAACCGGA